rnacentral:rRNA from 1 species
GAUGAACGUUGGCGGCGUGCCUAACACAUGCAAGUCGAACGCUAGUAGCAAUAUUAGAGUGGCGCACGGGUGAGUAACACGUAGCUUACCCACCUCCCAGCGCGGGAUAACGGUUCGAAAGAACUGCUAAUACCGCAUAAGCUCACGGGCUAUAGAGGCACGUGAGAAAAGGCUUAGGUCACUGGGGAGCGGGGGCGUGCGGCCCGACU